rnacentral:sRNA from 12 species
AUAUCCCUCCAUGGGGAGGGACAGCGACAAAACUUGUUUUGUCUCUGGGUGAGGAC